ensembl:lncRNA
AAAAACUCUAAAAUCAGGACAGUAAAUAAAGAACAACACUCGAAAACAGGGGAAUUCCAGACAAGAAACAAUCAGGGCCAGCUAAUCACCUUUCAACAAAGGAUUUCCCCGGGCAGGAAGCAGCCAGGCAUUGAAGCUGCAAGGCUAUUCAAUUGCAACAUUCACACUUGCCUCAAACAAACAAGAGUUCUUUCUCCCACCCUGGACAUCAUUCCACAGAUAUAUAAAACCCACUUGCCUAGUUUCCAACAGAACUCACAACUUCUGAGGAUGCCUGCCACAGAUAUGGGUGAAACGUCAGGCAUUCUCAGAUGUUGUGAGAUUUGUUGGAAACUAGACAAGUGGGGUUUAGAUAUCUGUGGAAUGUCCAGGGUGGGAGAAAGAACUCUUGUCUGUUUGAGGCAAGUGUAAAUAUUGCAAAUGUUGAUAUGGGUGAAACGUCAGGAGCGAAUGCUGCUGGAACAUGGCCAUACAGCCUGGAAAACAAUGGGUUAAAUCCUUGUGCCAACAGGACUGCUGACUUGAAGAUAGGAUUGCUGACCUGAAGGUUGCCGGUUCAAAUCUGGGGAGAGUGCGGAUGAACUCCCUCUGUCAGCUCUAGCUCCUCAUGUGGGGACAUGAGAGAAGCUUCCCACAAGGAUGGUAAAAACAUCCAUUUUUUUCCCAAAACAUUUGGGUGUCCCCUGGGCAACAUCCUUGCAGAUGGCCAAUUAUCUCACACCAGAAGUGACUUGCAGUUUCUCAAGCUGCUCCUGACACGGGGGGAAAAAAAGACUGGAAAACUCACAGCAACCCAGAUUUUGGGCUAGUUGGCAAUGUGGGCUUUGGUCUUUAAUGCAUAGUCAAAUUGAAGAAUUUGUCCAUGCAGAGCACAGAACUGUGUGGGGUGCAUCCAAGAAUGUCACGGGACAGACGGCUGCUUAUCUGCUACUGCUGAGAUCCCAGGUUGUUUCUAGGACACGGAAAAAUGAUGGGAUGAAGAAAACUGCCUUUGGCACAUCUACAUCCUCUGAUGCUGGUGGCUGAACCUAAGCCACACAGUCCAGCCAGUAUUAAGCAGAUUUAAACCACACUUCAUUCAUUUAGUAACAGUAGACAUAAAUAGUGGUUCUCCUAAGGUGGCUGUGUUCCAGUGCAACUGUUAAGACUCUUAUGCUUACUGGUUGUGACUUUAUAAAGGCAUAUGCAGAAGAAUGAAGGCAUACAGUGGGUCUAUACCAGGCAUGUGCAAACCUCUGGGCAUUUUUGGACUUCAACUCCCAUAAUUCCUAACAGCUGGUAGGCUGUUAGGAAUGGUGGGAGUUGAAGUCCAAAACACCAGGAGGGGCCAAGUUUGCCUAUGCCUGGUCUAUACUGACUUGCUUCCUGGGGACAAUUCAGCAUGAAAUUCAGACCAUCCCAACUUGGUUAAAGCUGUGUUGAGGUGGCCUUGUCCUGUGUUACUCCCAGAUUAAUUUGUGUGAAGUCUGGCCUACACGGAGCUGAUUCAGGGCCAUUCUGCAGUUAGUGGUCACUGUAGAUGUCCCCAUGGAUUGGUUUCCACUACUGAAAUAUUUUGGGGCAGACUAAGUCAUCUGAGCCCCAAUGACCUGUCUCAGCAUUCACGAGAAAUCAAUGGAUAAUGUAUUGUCGAAAGCUUUCAUGUCUGGAAUCACUGGGGUGUUGCAUGGUUUCUGGGCUGUAUAGCCGUAUUCUAGUAGCAUUUCUCCUGAUGUUUUGCCUGCAUCUGUGGCUGGAAUCUUUCUCUGAAGAUGCCAGCCACAGAUGCAGGUGUAACGUCAGGAGUAAAUGCUGCUAGAACACGGCCAUACAACCCGGAAACCACACAACACCCCAUUUAUCAAUGGAUAACUGUGGGUACUCUGUUAAACAUACACACACACACACUGCCACACACAUCUUGAAUUGCUCAAAUUGUAAAACUAUUAGAUGUUCAAACUGUUUGGAAAUGGCACAUCAAACAAGUUUUCUGCUCAUCCCUUGCACAAUCACAUCAGACAUCAGUUCUGUUUUUAUCUUCACACUAUUCUAGGGGAGUGAAUGAAAUUCCGCUCUUAAUCUCUGGACUCAAUCUCUGUGUGUUUCGUGGAAGAUGUGAGUAGGACAUGGCCACAAUCUGUCACUUUUCAGAUGUGCAGGACUAUAAUUCCCAUAGCUCCUAAGUGUGAUAGGAGUUGAUACGCCAACAGACCUGAAAGGUAAUUAUGGUCGGCCCUCCACAUUUAUAGGUUUAACUUUUGCAUAUUUCAUUAAUAUGUUCUCUCUAGGAUAUUCUAGGUUCUCAAGGGUAACUCUGUGGUCAGUAUCUGCUAGAUGUUGACCACAGAGAUUCUUGGAGAUAAUAUCUCUUUAGGGAUGUCUAGGUCCCACAGGACAAUUCUAUGAUCAAUGUUUCACACAUGUUAAUCACAUAGUUAUACUGGAGGACCUAGCAAUUUCUAGAGAAAUGAUUUCUUAGAUUAAAAAACCACACUUAAAAAUUAUGGUUUCUCCACUUUUGUGGGAAUCAUGUGCCUUUAACGGCCACAAUCUUGGAGGGCCUACUGUUGAGCACUAUUGUAGAUUCCCAAACAAAUUCAUAUAGAAAUGUACCAUCAGUGGCUGUGGUAGCAGCUGUCAUGUCGGAGGCCUUAUAUUUCUCAAUACUAAUAGUUGAGGAUACACAUUUUUAUGUAUUUGUAUUCUGCUUGUGGGUUUCCCAAUGGAAAUUUGGUUGGCUUCUCUUGGAACAGAAUAGUGGUCUGCCUUUGGUCUAAUCUAGGAGAGUUCUUAUUUGAUUAUGUCUCAUGGGAUUCGAAAUCUUGAAUGAUUGUGGUGCACUGAGCCUUUUUAUGUAGAGUUGAUGACUCUGUUCAGAACUUUUGCUAAACAUUGGGACAUUCUGGACUAGAGACACAGAAUCUGAUCCUGGUCUCUCCUACCUUGUAUCCUUCUUGUGUUGUGAAAACACAACUACAGUAAGGCCCCCAGAACCCAUAUCUGCAUUGUUCAUUUGCUGGUGCCUAGGGGAAAAUGAUGUCUUGCUAGAUUCUCCAGGUGAUUCUAUAGUAUGCUUUCCCUAGAUGUUACCAUAAAUGUAUAUAGGAGGACCUAGCAAAUUCCUAAAGAGAAUAGCUCUCUAGGAAUCACUCAAUCAAGCAUGGGCAAACUUUGGCUCUCCAGACUUUUUGGACUUCCAACAACCCAAAUUCCUAAAAGCUUACCGGCUGUUAGGAAUAGUAGGAGUUAAAGUCCAAAACAUCUAGAGGGACAAUGUCUGCCCAUGCCUGCUCUAGAUCCUCCAACAACAAUCCUAUGGUAAGCUGGAACUGGAAGACAGGAAUGCAUCCCCUAUGAAUACUGGCUCUUGUAUUGCAAUGGAAAUAGGUGAUUAAUACCAGUAUCACCAGAAAAGGGGAGAAAUGCAAACCUUUAAAUGGAAAGUGGCAAUGCCCUGAUUAUACUUCAGAAAACAUAACUACUUUUGAAUUAUAAGCACGACAGCAUGGCUACAAGGAUUGAUUUUCUUAAUAAAGUUUUUCCUUUAAAAAACACACCAUGUAAAAUCUAUAAAUAAAGUUGUAAGUGCUUCAUUUAAGAGAAUAUUUCUUUGGCUGCUCUGGGUGCUUGG